rnacentral:lncRNA from 1 species
CUUUCAGGAUUCCUGGGCUGGGGACAGGGAGAGGAAGAAGAGAAAGAUCCGCCAUGCUGGAAAAAGGAGAACUAAGAUGCCACACCCGAGAAGCUCAGGACAGAGAACAUAGCCGCCAUAUUGGAGUAAGGGGAUCCCAGCCCAAGAUGGUCUGGGUAUAGGGCAGCAAAGAUGGAAAACAGUUAGGGACUCCAUCCAAUAAAGGCAAAUAAAGAGAGCCUGAAAGUAUAGCUUGGCACCUACGCAGCAAGCCACUCCUGUCUACAGUGCUCAUGAACCUUCCAGAAUCAUGGAGAAGACCUGCCGUGCAUGGCCCUUAUUGCAAACUGAAAGUGUUUCGAGGCCCAAGGUGGAAAGAAAAAAAAAAGAAGAAAGCAAACCUGGGAAACACAGAAUUCAUUCAGCCCCUUGUAGUCCCGCACUUUGGUCACAGAGGAAACAUCCCCUGACAGCCUGGUGUUCGAAUCUAAUGUGGUCAAAGCAAACUAUGGAGCCGGACCUAUGCAAAUCUCUACAGAAACUCGAGGUUAGAUGUAUUUUACACUAAGUAACACUCAGGGGCCAUCUUCUUGGGAUUGUACUUUAAUAGAAAAUAUGCCAGAGAGGCUAGGGAAAAUUAAGAAAAAUAUAAAUUUAAGUCAGAGAUCGGAAUGGUAAUUUGUGUGAGGGGGAAGAAAACCACAAGCGCUCCCCCCCUCACACUGCCUUGAAAGCGUGGAUGAUUUCAGAAUCCCACCCUACGAGAAAGCAAGGAGAUGCAGGGUUUGGAGUUAAGAAACGUAAGUGUCUCCAGUCCCCAGCUGCACAUUAAACUAAUGUCAAGUUGAAGGAAAUCGUAUUGCUGCUGAGGCUGGAGAAAGAUGUCGGAGUGCAAUAAUUAAUGGUGCAGGUUUGAAGGAGAAAGGCUGCCAGGCUAAUGGAACCUGAAGAGAGGUAAAACUCCUCCUGUCCAGAGACAAGACACUUUCCCACCCAACAUAGGAGAAAAGCCUUCCCUUAAAGUAGAGAGGAACCCUUCGAAACCUUCCCUGUGAAAGCCAGGCCUCGGUUGACUUGUGUGGGACUUGCAGGUCACCACCCAUGUGAGUGGCAAGCAGGCCUUGCUGACAGGACAAGCCCUGAAACCAGACCUGGCCAUUUCUGGUUCUCUAUCAAAAUGAAACCAAAAAGUUCUUCAACCCCAUGAAAAUAAGCGGGAGAAACCCUGUCUCGAAAAACCAAAACCAAAAAAAAGAGAGAGAAAGAGCGAGAGAAGAAAAUAAGUGGGAAAAAGUCACUCCCUGGACAAGGUUUCAAAGCUCACAGCCUUUUAAUAAAGCCAAUGUCUAUGAAAAGGGUUAACCUGUUGUUUAGAAAUGGAAAAUUUUGUUGCUGAAUA